rnacentral:rRNA from 1 species
UACAAGUACCGUGAGGGAAAGUUGCAAAGUACUUUGAAGAGAGAGUUCAAGAGGACGUGAAACCGAUAGGAUGGAAGCAGAUGAAGUUGACGAACGUGUGUCGUAUUCAAAAUCGCUGUCAGCGGUUUGUUUUUACGGCCGAUGUGGGCCGGCGGCUUUGGUCAAUGCAACGCGUCUAGCGUCGAUGGUGACCCUGCGGAGGGACAAUCGGUCGACGUACGGUGCUUGGUAUGGCUAAGGUUUCGCCGGUCUUAAAGUCAGCGCCUCAUCUGACCCGUCUUGAAACACGGACCAAGGAGUGUAGCGUUUGCGCAAGUCUUAGAGUGUAUCGAAACUUUGAGGCGUAACGAAAGUAAAUGCAGUUUAAUCUGCUGACUUGGGAUGCGUUGUCUCUUGUGGACGGCGCUGGACCAAGGUUUUAUCGCGAUCGCUUGCGGUGCGGUGAAAAUAGAGCGUAAACGGUGCGACCCGAAAGAUGGUGAACUAUGCCUGAGCAGGAUGAAGCCGGAGGAAACUCUGGUGGAAGUCCGAAGCGGUUCUGACGUGCAAAUCGAUCGUCUGACUUGGGUAUAGGGGCGAAAGACUAAUCGAACCAUCUAGUAGCUGGUUCCUUCC